UACGUAGGGUGCGAGCGUUAAUCGGAAUUACUGGGCGUAAAGCGUGCGCAGGCGGUUUUGUAAGGCAGAUGUGAAAUCCCCGGGCUUAACCUGGGAAUGGCAUUUGGGACUGCAAGGCUCGAGUGCGGCAGAGGAGACUGGAAUUUCUGGUGUAGCAGUGAAAUGCGUAGAUAUCAGGAGGAACACCGAUGGCGAAGGCAGGUCUCUGGGCUGACACUGACGCUCAUGCACGAAAGCGUGGGGAUCAAACAGG
rnacentral:rRNA from 1 species